rnacentral:rRNA from 1 species
AUUGAACGCUGGCGGCAGGCCUAACACAUGCAAGUCGAACGGUUACAGGAAACAGCUUGCUGUUUCGCUGACGAGUGGCGGACGGGUGAGUGAUGUCUGGGAAACUGCCUGAUGGAGGGGGAUAACUACUGGAAACGGUAGCUAAUACCGCAUAACGUCGCGAGACCAAAGAGGGGGACCUUCGGGCCUCUUGCCAUCGGAAGUGCCCAGAUGGGAUUAGCUAGUAGGUGGGGUAACGGCUCACCUAGGCGACGAUCCCUAGCUGGUCUGAGAGGAUGACCAGCCACACUGGAACUGAGACACGGUCCAGACUCCUACGGGAGGCAGCAGUGGGGAAUAUUGCACAAUGGGCGCAAGCCUGAUGCAGCCAUGCCGCGUGUAUGAAGAAGGCCUUCGGGUUGUAAAGUACUUUCAGCGGGGAGGAAGGGAAUAAAGUUAAUACCUUUGCUCAUUGACGUUACCCGCAGAAGAAGCACCGGCUAACUCCGUGCCAGCCGCCGCAGUAA